rnacentral:rRNA from 1 species
AUUGAACGCUGGCGGCAGGCCUAACACAUGCAAGUCGAGCGGAUGAAGGGAGCUUGCUCCUGGAUUCAGCGGCGGACGGGUGAGUAAUGCCUAGGAAUCUGCCUGGUAGUGGGGGAUAACGUCCGGAAACGGGCGCUAAUACCGCAUACGUCCUGAGGGAGAAAGUGGGGGAUCUUCGGACCUCACGCUAUCAGAUGAGCCUAGGUCGGAUUAGCUAGUUGGUGGGGUAAAGGCCUACCAAGGCGACGAUCCGUAACUGGUCUGAGAGGAUGAUCAGUCAAAAUGGAACUGAGAAAAGGUCCAGACUCCUAAGGGAGGCAGCAGUGGGGAAUAUUGGACAAUGGGCGAAAGCCUGAUCCAGCCAUGCCGCGUGUGUGAAGAAGGUCUUCGGAUUGUAAAGCACUUUAAGUUGGGAGGAAGGGCAGUAAGUUAAUACCUUGCUGUUUUGACGUUACCAACAGAAUAAGCACCGGCUAACUUCGUG